AAAGGCCACUUGGAACAAAGCUAUUAAUGUGGACAAGUCUGACUAUGGAAACAUAGUAGAUCUCACAUUAACUUUGAUACAGAUUCUCCUACACUCUCACCACAUAAUGUCCCAUCAUCAGCCACGAAAUCCUGACCUAGUCAAAGAUCACCACGUAAUGUCCCAUCGUCAUCGACCACUUAGUCCAAGAGAAAAAGAUCUGACAGAAACCAGUACUCAGAAACAUGACAUCAUCGGCUUUGCCGACCCGUGACUUGAUUUAGAAAGACCCUGACCUCGAAUUCUCUGUGUAUUGAUUGUGCAAUACAGUUUUUACUGGGCGUGAUGCAGGACAAGCAGAAGAAAAACAACAAACACGCAGAUCAGUUUCAGCGGAUCUCAGAGACGCUGUCCAUUCUUAACUGGGUCAAUGAGACUGAAGAGUCAGUUGUUAGAAUGAGAUGUUACCACCGGAGAACCGACUGGAACCGCUGAGUCUGAAGAGUCAGUUGUUAGAACCAGAUGUUACCACCGGAGAACCGACUGGAACCACUGAGUCUGAAGAGUCAGUUGUUAGAACCAGAUGUUACCACUGGAGGAUUGACUGGAACCACUGAGUCUGAAGAGUCAGUUGUUAGAACCAGAUGUUACCACCGGAGGACCGACUGGAACCGCUGAGUCUGAAGAGUCAGUUGUUAGAAUGAGAUGUUACCACCGGAGAACCGACUGGAACGGCUGAGUCUGAAGAGUCAGUUGUUAGACCCAGAUGUUACCACCGGAGAACCGACUGGAACCGCUAAGUCUGAAGAGUCAGUUGUUAGAAUGAGAUGUUACCACCGGAGGACCGACUGGAACCGCUGAGUCUGAAGAGUCAGUUGUUAGAAUGAGAUGUUACCACCGGAGAACCGACUGGAACCGCUAAGUCUGAAGAGUCAGUUGUUAGAAUGAGAUGUUACCACCGGAGAACCGACUGGAACCGCUAAGUCUGAAGAGUCAGUUGUUAGAACCAGAUGUUACCACCGGAGAACCGACUGGAACCGCUGAGUCUGAAGAGUCAGUUGUUAGACCCAGAUGUUACCACCGGAGAACCGACUGGAACCGCUAAGUCUGAAGAGUCAGUUGUUAGAACCAGAUGUUACCACCGGAGAACCGACUGGAACCGCUAAGUCUGAAGAGUCAGUUGUUAGAAUGAGAUGUUACCAAUGGAGAACCGACUGGAACCGCUAAGUCUGAAGAGUCAGUUGUUAGAAUGAGAUGUUACCACCGGAGAACUGACUGGAACUGCUGAGUCUGAAGAGCCAGUUGUUAGACCCAGAUGUUACCAUCCGAGGACUGACUGUAACCACUGAGUCUGAAGAGUCAGUUGUUAGAACCAGAUGUUACCACCGGAGGACUGACUGGAACUGCUGAGUCUGAAGAGCCAGUUGUUAGACCCAGAUGUUACCACCGGAGGACCGACUGGAACCACUGAGUCUGAAGAGCCAGUUGUUAGAACCAGAUGUUACGACCGGAGGACUGACUGGAACCGCUGAGUCUGAAGAGCCAGUUGUUAGACCCAGAUGUUACCACCGGAGGACCGACUGGAACCACUGAGUCUGAAGAGCCAGUUGUUAGACCCAGAUGUUACCAUCCGAGGACCAACUGUAACAGCUAAGUCUGAAGAGUCAGUUGUUAGAACGAGAUCCGGAUGAAGAGCAGGGGAACCAGUAAAAUGUAGCAGUAUAUGCGGUUGAUAUAGAACUGGACACAUUAUAUUUUUAUUUUUUAACUUAAUUAAUUUGCUAUAUGGUCUUUAUGUUUUAACUUUUAUGAUAUCUAAAAUUUCAAGCUUCCUUUGGAAUGUAUUAUAUUAGAGAAAUUGGAUAACAUACGUUAAAGUGUAACAAAUUGUGUUAUCAAUUUAGGAAAUUAACUUUUAAUUGACUGGGUUUUUAUUUAGUCUAAAGGGAUAAUUUCAAAAUUUUACCAUUUAUAUUUUCCUUUUUUUUUUAAAUUACUGCAAGUGUAAUCUAGUCUGCAUCUCUAUAUUAUGUACAUACAGAUCCUUGACAUAUGGCUCUGUAAUAUCUCUUGAUGUGAGAAGAUAAUAGAAUUAUACAUGUAUGCAUUUCCAUAUUGAUGCCUAUAGCCAAUUUAAGGUCACUAAAGUCCAUCUAUUAUAGGUUGUUUUUCCUACUUUUUCCUUACUGCUUUUAGGAAUUAAACCAGUUUUAGGUAUGAUGUCUAUUGGCCAAUUAUUCAAGAGAGUUAUUGCCCUUAGACCGUUGAAUUUUUUUUUUACUUUGUUGACCUAGUACAUGUAGACAAAUUGUAUUAGACAGAGUGUAUAUGUAGGGUUAUGUUUCAAAUUACUGUUUCUUGAUAUUGAUGGCAGUUAUAAGAUUAAAGUUAAGGACAAGUGAUACAAACAAAUGAAUGUAUGGAUAGAUAUAAUUUAUUUUAUUUUCUUUGUGUAUGAUGUAAAAUAUUGAAUUGCUAAAAUGAAAAUAAAUUGAAUUGCUACUAUAGAGAUUGUAAAUUAUUGACUUUUUAUGAAUUGUUCAGAAUUUUAUCUUUUUUGCCAUCUUCCUUCGAAAUAUUUACUAUUUAUCACUUUAUAAUAUGACAUUAUUAUGAAACUUUAGGAUGAAAAAGUGCAAAUUUGUGCUGUUUUUGUGAGAACAAAAGUUUGUAGGUUUUUUAAUUUUUUAUUAAAGUUUUCAGGAGAGUUAUUGCCCUUAGACUGUGAAAAUUUCUAAUUGUUCACUGUUGAGCUGGUAUAAAUGAACUAUUCUGUAGAAUUUAUUUUUAAUUAAAUAUUAUCAUCAUUAAUUCAUAAUUAGACCAUACAAAUUUUUUAAUACAUGUCAGCUUUAAAUCAUUCUCUUCAAGUUUUGUGAAUUUAGAAUGUUAGAAUUUAAUAAAUUAUAU